GACGAACGCUGGCGGCGUGCUUAACACAUGCAAGUCGAACGGAAAGGCCCUGCUUUUGUGGGGUGCUCGAUUGGCGAACGGGUGAGUAACACGUGAGUAACCUGCCCUUGACUUUGGGAUAACUUCAGGAAACUGGGGCUAAUACCGGAUAGGAGCUCCUGCUGCAUGGUGGGGGUUGGAAAGUUUCGGCGGUUGUGGAUGGACUCGCGGCUUAUCAGCUUGUUGGUGGGGUAGUGGCUUACCAAGGCUUUGACGGGUAGCCGGCCUGAGAGGGUGACCGGCCACAUUGGGACUGAGAUACGGCCCAGACUCCUACGGGAGGCAGCAGCGGGGAAUAUUGCAGAAUGGGCGGAAGCCUGAUGUAGCAACGCCGCGUGCGGGAUGACGGCCUUCGGGUUGUAAACCGAUUUCGAAUGUGACGAAGCGUGAGUGACGGUAAUGGGUAAAGAAGCACCGGCUAACUACGUG
rnacentral:rRNA from 1 species